rnacentral:rRNA from 1 species
GUUACUGCUAUCGGAGUUCGAUUAAGCCAUGCGAGUCUAAAGGUUUCUUCGGAAACCUUGGCGGACUGCUCAGUAACACGUGGAUAACCUACCCUUGGGACUGGAAUAACCCCGGGAAACUGGGGAUAAUACCGGAUAGAUCAGGGAUGCUGGAAUGCGCCUUGAUCCAAAGCUCCGGCGCCCAAGGAUGGGUCUGCGGCCUAUCAGGUUGUAGUGGGUGUAACGUACCUACUAGCCGACGACGGGUACGGGUUGUGAGAGCAAGAGCCCGGAGAUGGAUUCUGAGACACGAAUCCAGGCCCUACGGGGUGCAGCAGGCGCGAAAACUUUACAAUGUGCGAAAGCAUGAUAAGGGAACUCCGAGUGCCAGUAUCUAAUACUGGCCGUCCUUGUGCCUAAAACGCACAAGAUAGCAAGGGCCGGGUAAGACCGGUGCCAGCCGCCGCGGUAACACCGGCGGCCCGAGUGGUAGCCGCUAUUAUUGGGUCUAAAGGGUCCGUAGCCGGUUCGAUAAGUCUUCUGGGAAAUCUGGUUGCUUAACAAUCAGACUGCCAAGGGAUACUGUCGAACUUGAGACCGGGAGAGGUAAGAGGUACUUCAGGGGUAGGAGUGAAAUCUUGUAAUCCCUGGGGGACCAUCUGUGGCGAAGGCGUCUUACCAGAACGGGUCUGACGGUGAGGGACGAAAGCUGGGGGCGCAAACCGGAUUAGAUACCCGGGUAGUCCCAGCCGUAAACGAUGCUCGCUAUGUGUCAGGUACGGUGUGACCGUAUCUGGCGCCGUAGGGAAGCCGUGAAGCGAGCCACCUGGGAAGUACGGUCGCAAGACUGAAACUUAAAGGAAUUGGCGGGGGAGCACUACAACGGGUGGAGCCUGCGGUUUAAUUGGAUCAACGCCGGA